rnacentral:rRNA from 1 species
GACGAACGCUGGCGGCGUGCUUAACACAUGCAAGUCGAACGGUAAGGCCCUUCGGGGUACACGAGUGGCGAACGGGUGAGUAACACGUGGGUGAUCUGCCCUGCACUUCGGGAUAAGCCUGGGAAACUGGGUCUAAUACCGGAUAGGACUCCGGACUGCAUGGUCUGGGGUGGAAAGCUUUUGCGGUGUGGGAUGGGCCCGCGGCCUAUCAGCUUGUUGGUGGGGUGAUGGCCUACCAAGGCGACGACGGGUAGCCAGCCUGAGAGGGUGACCGGCCACACUGGGACGGAGAUACGGCCCAGACUCCUACGGGAGGCAGCAGUGGGGAAGAUUGCACAAUGGGCGCAAGCCUGAUGCAGCGACGCCGCGUGAGGGAUGACGGCCUUCGGGUUGUAAACCUCUUUCAGCAUCGACGAAGCGAAAGUGACGGUAGGUGCAGAAGAAGGACCGGCCAACUACGUGCCAGCCGCCGCCGUAA